ACAAAAAACCGCGCCACGAUGAAUGUUUGGUUGGGUGUAUUUCGUUUCCUGUUUUCAAAAAAGCUUGAGAAAAUAAGGGUGUUUUCUAAAAAAUUUCUUGUGCUUAUCGCCCAGCUUGUCUGAAGUGUGCCGCUACCGAUCUAUUGCGUUCUCUCUCCACCCAUCACCGCCGAUGGCAACUGGAUUUUAUGAAACAGAAGAUGCUAAGAUUUGGCCUGCAAAGCUUGAAAAGUUUUUUUAUAGACAUUAUGGUGAAGGAAAUGCACAAAGGAAAUAUGCGAAGGGGCAUUUUUAAACAUAUAACUUGGUGCAAAAUUUUAGAAGAACUGAAUGAAUGGGGUAAGCAAUCUUUCAAAUUGAAACAAGUUAAAGCCACAUUUAAUAGACUUAGGCAAAAAUACUGUGUUUUUUCUCAACUCAUACAACAAAAUGGGUUUGGUUGGGAUGCUGAGACAAAUGCUGUUAUCACAAGUCAUAAAGCUUGGGAAAGUUAUCUUCAGGUAAGUAAUGUAUCUUACAUUCCAUAAACCAUUUUGUGGUUUGCAAACCCUCAUGCUGAGAAAUUCCAAGAGAUGGGUUGCGAGCACUUUAUGUUGUUGGGAAUUCUCUUCAACAGAAUAGCUACCAUGGGUGUAUUGGCUAUUUCUUCUAACGAACCUGUACCAGACACAGAUGAGGAGCGUGAGCUUGAUGAGGAGUAUCUCAAUGCAAUCUAUGUUGAUGUGGAUCUUGAUAGUCCAGAUGGCCAUCAGAAGAAAGUGAGUCAGAAGCGCACCACACGUAGUGGGAAGCGUCCUAUGCAUUUAGAGACCAGGGUAGGAAGCGUUCUAGGAAAGCUGAUAGCUGUAGUCAAUUUACCGAUGCAAUUAGGGCAUUUUCCGAGUGUUCUAAGUUAAGAUCGGAAGCAAGGGUAGCCAUGAUGAAGGAAAAGGAAAAAUGUAAGCAGCAGGAGGGUAAAUCUGUGACCCCAUACGAUGAAUAUUCCCUUCCCAACUGUGUGAUUGCACUCAAGAACCUUGGUGCUAUUGACGACAAUACCAACAGGUUGGCCAUGGAUAAAUUUGUUUCAGCAGACUGGAGAGAGAUAUUCAUGAGUAUGUCUAAUGCUAGGAAGAAGGCUUGGUUGGAUUGUCUUAAGUAAACUGGUGCACAGGACUUCAUUUUGAGCAAGAUCCUGGAUAUAUUUUUUAGCCAAUGAUGUAACAUUUUCUGAAUCUAUUUUCAUACAAUUUUUAGCAUCAUGUUUUUUAUUUACUCCUUGCUAAGUUUUUUUUUGGCUGGGUCUCUGCCUUCUUUGAAAAAGCAUGCUCAUUAUUGUGGCCUGUGGGUUACAUAACUUGCAUUUGAGAAUUAUUUAUGUUGGAUGAGGUUGCAAUUUCUGGAGAAAA